GAUCCUGGCUUAGGAUGAACGCUAGCUACAGGCUUAACACAUGCAAGUCGAGGGGCAGCAUGGGGUAGCAAUACUCAGAUGGCGACCGGCGCACGGGUGAGUAACACGUAUCCAACCUGCCGCUUACUCGGGGAUAGCCUUUCGAAAGAAAGAUUAAUACCCGAUGGUAUAAAGAGUUCGCAUGUUCUCUUUAUUAAAGAAUUUCGGUAAGCGAUGGGAUGCGUUCCAUUAGAUAGUUGGCGGGGUAACGGCCCACCAAGUCUACGAUGGAUAGGGGUUCUGAGAGGAAGGUCCCCCACAUUGGAACUGAGACACGGUCCAAACUCCUACGGGAGGCAGCAGUGAGGAAUAUUGGUCAAUGGACGAGAGUCUGAACCAGCCAAAAGUAGCGUGAAGGAUGACUGCCCUAUGGGUUGUAAACUUCUUUUAUAAGGGAAUAAAGUGAGGGACGUGUCCCUUUUUGUAUGUACCUUAUGAAUAAGGAUCGGCUAACUCCGUGCCAGCCGCGGC
rnacentral:rRNA from 1 species